AUGAAGUAUUAUAAAAAACUAAAUUCGUCGCUAAGGUUAUAAACUUAGGUAAAUGGACAGUUAUAUCCUUGACAGAUACAAUUAUAACAGGGUAGGUUGCAGCUGCCCUGCCUGUUUCUAACCAGUUACAUUUGCUCACAUGGACACUUUGAAGAUUAAUAUCUUAUAAAGCCCCUCAUGUGUAAUUUAGAACUGAAGUGUCUUGGAUGUUUUAGGUGUGACAAAGCAAUUCUUUAUUAGUCAUUCAGCAAAAGUACUGUUGACUCAAUAGAUCUUUAAAAAGGAGUCACCCAUCUUCAAUUCCCUCUUCCUAUCUACAGUCUAAAGAUUCUGUCAGCGCUACUCAAGUCUAUCCCUGGAUUGAAGGAGAAGGCUGACAGUGAGAACAGGGGGAUUCAAGAUGAGUUUCAUUCAGCACCUUUGACUACCUCUUCUGCUUUAUGGCUGUUGUUGGCUGUUUUUUUUUUUUUCCCUGAUCAUAGCUGAUGCUGAACAAUGAUCCUGAGAUGGAUGUAUCAAAAUCUUGAAGCCAAGCUCACAAAUUUGAGAUAUUGAAGAUCCUGGGUCCAUUGGUCAGAGUCUGGCAGAAGAGGGAGUUAGAUCAGAUCAGAGAAUACAACUGCAGAAAAGAGAAGAGUCUAAGCCUAGCUUGCCAGGUAGAAGGUUGGAAGGAAGAGUGAAAAGGCAAAUUUUUGCUGAUCGAAACAAAUAAAAUAUAAUUUAAAAGUA